AGAGUUUGAUCAUGGCUCAGAUUGAACGCUGGCGGCAGGCCUAACACAUGCAAGUCGAGCGGUAACAGAAAGUAGCUUGCUACUUUGCUGACGAGCGGCGGACGGGUGAGUAAUGCUUGGGAACAUGCCUUGAGGUGGGGGACAACAGUUGGAAACGACUGCUAAUACCGCAUAAUGUCUACGGACCAAAGGGGGCUUCGGCUCUCGCCUUUAGAUUGGCCCAAGUGGGAUUAGCUAGUUGGUGAGGUAAUGGCUCACCAAGGCAACGAUCCCUAGCUGGUUUGAGAGGAUGAUCAGCCACACUGGAACUGAGACACGGUCCAGACUCCUACGGGAGGCAGCAGUGGGGAAUAUUGCACAAUGGGCGAAAGCCUGAUGCAGCCAUGCCGCGUGUGUGAAGAAGGCCUUCGGGUUGUAAAGCACUUUCAGUCAGGAGGAAAGGGUGUGAGUUAAUACCUCACGUCUGUGACGUUACUGACAGAAGAAGCACCGGCUAACUCCGUGCCAGCAGCCGCGGUAAUACGGAGGGUGCGAGCGUUAAUCGGAAUUACUGGGCGUAAAGCGUACGCAGGCGGUUUGUUAAGCGAGAUGUGAAAGCCCCGGGCUCAACCUGGGAACUGCAUUUCGAACUGGCAAACUAGAGUGUGAUAGAGGGUGGUAGAAUUUCAGGUGUAGCGGUGAAAUGCGUAGAGAUCUGAAGGAAUACCGAUGGCGAAGGCAGCCACCUGGGUCAACACUGACGCUCAUGUACGAAAGCGUGGGGAGCAAACGGGAUUAGAUACCCCGGUAGUCCACGCCGUAAACGAUGUCUACUAGAAGCUCGGAACCUCGGUUCUGUUUUUCAAAGCUAACGCAUUAAGUAGACCGCCUGGGGAGUACGGCCGCAAGGUUAAAACUCAAAUGAAUUGACGGGGGCCCGCACAAGCGGUGGAGCAUGUGGUUUAAUUCGAUGCAACGCG
rnacentral:rRNA from 1 species